UCAUUCAGAUUUCUAAAAAAUCUGAUUGAAAAGAUACAAUUAGUAUCCACAUAUUUUGAUAUAUAAACACACAUAAAAAUAUAUAUAUA